rnacentral:rRNA from 1 species
GUGGGGAAUUUUGGACAAUGGGCGCAAGCCUGAUCCAGCCAUGCCGCGUGCAGGAUGAAGGCCUUCGGGUUGUAAACUGCUUUUGUACGGAACGAAACGGUCCGGGUUAAUACCCUGGGCUAAUGACGGUACCGUAAGAAUAAGCACCGGCUAACUACGUGCCAGCAGCCGCGGUAAUACGUAGGGUGCAAGCGUUAAUCGGAAUUACUGGGCGUAAAGCGUGCGCAGGCGGUUUUGUAAGACAGGCGUGAAAUCCCCGGGCUCAACCUGGGAAUUGCGCUUGUGACUGCAAGGCUGGAGUGCGGCAGAGGGGGAUGGAAUUCCGCGUGUAGCAGUGAAAUGCGUAGAUAUGCGGAGGAACACCGAUGGCGAAGGCAAUCCCCUGGGCCUGCACUGACGCUCAUGCACGAAAGCGUGGGGAGCAAACAGGAUUAGAAACCCCAGUAGUCC